GACGAACGCUGGCGGCGUGCUUAACACGUGCAAGUCGAACGAUGAAGAAGAGAAACGCGAACUUCGGUUCAAAUUUCACUUCGGAUUAGUGGCAGACGGGUGAGUAACGCGUGAGCAACCUACCUCUUACAAAGGGAUAGCCUCGGGAAACCGUGAUUAAUACCAUAUGACACAUUCAUAAGGCAUCUUAAGAAUGUUAAAGCUACGGCGGUAAGAGAUGGGCUCGCGUCCCAUUAGCUAGUUGGUGAGGUAACGGCCCACCAAGGCGACGAUGGGUAACCGGCCUGAGAGGGUGAACGGUCACAUUGGAACUGAGACACGGUCCAAACUCCUACGGGAGGCAGCAGUGGGGAAUAUUGCACAAUGGAGGGAACUCUGAUGCAGCGACGCCGCGUGAGCGAUGAAGGAAUUCGUUACGUAAAGCUCUGUUCUAUGGGAAGAAAAGGACUGUACCAUAGGAGAAAGCCCCGGCUAAAUACGUG
rnacentral:rRNA from 1 species